UGAAUGCGGUAUAUAACAUUAGAAAUGUUACGUGUGUUAGCAGGGUUUACAUAAACCAUAUACAUCUUAAAGACGAUUAAAUGAAUUUAAUAUGAAACAGGAAAAUGUUCUGAGAGAAUUGCAGAUGAGCAAAUCAACAAGAACAGACAUCUGAGUGAGAGAUGUGUGUGUGCUAUUCUGUAGAGUUCACUGUCUACAUCUGAGGAACGUGUGUUGGAUAAAAAGCGAGUGAACACAACAUGUAAAUGUAGUAUAUCACAGAUAAAUCACAGAGGAGACUGACUCUUGUCUGGAUCUUACAGGAACACAUGAGACACAGGUGUGUUUAUCUGCUGCAGAGACACUGAUGAAGAAAUCACUGCCAUCACAGACUCUCAAUCUUUUGUGGUGGAGCAGGUGAAGAAAGAAAAACCGGAAACCAAAAUAUAAAGAUCUGAAACGUCUGCAGACUGCUGUGUGCACUGAGGAUGAAGAAGACCACAGCAGCAUCCUGGAAAUGAUCAUGUGUCAUGAAUGAAACGCUCCAUCACUGCAUCUGACCUUGUUUUCUCAUCAGGAACAGAUGCUGCUGUGGUGUCUUCAUCUUCAGUGACCCCAGAGCAGUGAGAGCAAAUAGAGAAAGACCAAAAGACAUUGAGGAUGU